UUCAAAAAAGGAGUGUACAAGUUUUUAAAGUGUCGGCAACGCGCAUGUAACGCCUCUGGAGUUGCAGGCGUCCAUAGGCUACGGUGACUGCUUACCAUCAGGCGGCCCGUGUGCUUGUUUGCCACCGA